UACGUAGGGUGCGAGCGUUGUCCGGAAUCAUUGGGCGUAAAGCGCGUGUAGGCGGCCCGAUAAGUCCGCUGUGAAAGUCCAGGGCUCAACCCUGGGAUGCCGGUGGAUACUGUCGGGCUCGAGUCCGGAAGAGGCGAGUGGAAUUCCUGGUGUAGCGGUGAAAUGCGCAGAUAUCAGGAAGAACACCCGUGGCGAAAGCGGCUCUCUGGAACGGUACUGACGCUGAGACGCGAAAGCGUGGGGAGCGAACAGG
rnacentral:rRNA from 1 species